GAGUCUAAUGUAGCAUUUUCGUCAAGAAAACAAAUGGAGAAAGAGGCUCUGUGGUGUUGACCUCAAGGAACUAGCUUUAUUUGCAUAUGGUAGGAUGCUAAGAAGCCCAAUUGCCACUCCCAGGCUCUGGCAAGGUCACAUCUGGGUGCUCAUAUCUGAUAGAAGUCCUUGGUUGAACUCACAAGAUGUGACAUCCUCAGCCACAAAGUACAAGAUCUCAUGCUGUGUAGAUCAGUGAUCCACGGGAGGUCCUGGGUACAAUAAGUAGCAAACUCCCAAGACACGAAGGCUUGUGUGCCAAGCCUGACUCUUGCAGUCUGAUGGACCUCUACCUUGGAGGCGCUCUGACCCUCUUCUUCAGAUCCCAAACUCCUGUAGAGAUGUGUCCCACUUACAGAUGGCCUGAAGCUGAGGUCAUGAUCAAUGGAUGGGAAUCCAUGCAGGAGUCACUGGUGCAAACCAUCUGCUAGGUCCAUCUUUGACCAUCCAGGUGUCAUGCGCAGCUCUAAAGACAAAAGAUUGUGUGGGCAGAGGUGGGCAUGGGGCUUACUGUGUUCAGGCGAUGAAAGGGAACAAAAUGGAACACAAGAGACAUGUGCUACUAUGUGGUGGCAACAAUUUUGGAAGACCCAUUGGUGGAACUGUACCCAGAUAAGAAGAGGAAUGUGGGUAACAGAGGACCGCAUAGCUAGGUCUCCUUGGUUACACUCUGACCGUGUGUGUUCAGGUGGGCCUUCUCACCUUAUGGAUCUGAAUGAUUUUGUCAACUCUGCCUGACCAAGAAAUCACUGGAGCAGUGGGUGACUGAGGAGUCCACUGACUUCCUGUUCCUCCACCUCUGUUACCAACCUGGCUGCUAGGUGACGUGUAAAGGAGUCGCAUAUAGUGGGAAUUUUCUUUGGGCCACCAAUCAGAUCCCAAAAUAAAGACAUGGAUACUUAUUAUUAGUUAUGAAUGCUUAUCCUUAGGUUAGGCUUGUCCCACUAGCUCUUUUAAAUUAAUGUAACCCGUUUUUAUUCAUCUACAUUUUGCCUUGGAACUUUUGACCUUUCUUUCAUCCCAUGUAUCCUACUUUCUUGCUUCCUCUGUGUCUGGCUGGCUGGCCCCAGAGGUAUCCCUGUUGUCUCCUUUUCUUUCUUCCUUGAGCCUAAAUUCUUCCUCCUACUUAUUCUCCGAACCUGGAAGUCCACAUAUACCUCUACCCUCACUACUGGCCACUCUGCUUUUUCUUUGACCAAUGAGGUGCCUUUAGCAGACAAGGCAAAAUAGCAACACAUGUUUACAUAGAUAAACAAAUGCAACACAUCUUCAUAUAGUUAAACAAAUAUUUGGCUACAUAAACAAAUGCAACAUAUCUUUGCAUGCUUAAACAAAUAUUAUGCAACAUUUCCCCUUUUGUCUAAAUAAAAAGAAAGGUUUUAGCUUUAACAUAGAAAGAAUAUAUACAGUAAGAACAAUUGUCAAAGUAAGAAUUGCAUUUACAACAUCCAGUCCCAUUUGCAUUUGGCAAAUUCAGAAAAAAUACUACAUUAUCUAUCCUAUCUUGGUGAGUCUAAUUUGGUGUCUAUAUAAUGUACUUUCUAUCUUAACUUGUAUUACCAACUCCAAAUUACCUUUUUAGACCCCCAAAACAUUUUAGAUAAACAAUUUAAGAUUUUAUGUUUCUCUGCCUUUUAAACUUUACAUCUCUUAUGUAAGUUCUUUUCUGAAUUUGCUAAAAAGGAAAAAUAUAGCUAUAACUACCUUGUCUUCUACUCCAUCAGAGACCUGAGAAGGAUACAAUAUUAUCUGAGGAAACAGGAAGUGCAGAGCAAGCAACUUAGAAAUGACAGAAGCAGCUGCUACCUGGACAGUCACACAAGGUUCCUCUGCACCAUUGGGGCAUAGUAUCUGACAGACAUUUUGGUAAAGCAGUAAUUUUGAAGGACUGUCCCACCUUGUCUUGGCAAAGUUUGGCAGUCUUUUCUCCUCUGUGUCCUGGUUGUCCAGUUUGUAUUGUAUACCGUUUGCAGUCAAGGCAAAGGCAGUGUCUACAGCCCAAGUGGCUAUCUUUGCCACAAUGAAAGCACACUCUGUAUCGAGGUUCUUUGAUGCCCUUCAUCCUAUUAUAAAUUAGAUUGAUAUUGCUACGAGCAGAUGUGUUGUACUGUCAUGAAAAGCCUUAGGUUAUUAAACAUCUUAAAUGCCAUAUUCUUAUAGGUCUCUGAAGCAUUUGAAGAUCACCUAUGUAACAUGUAACUGUUUAACCUUGAAAACAUAUGUAACAUGACUACAAGUUUGUUUGUUAUAGAUGAUUAAGUACUAAUAUUCAUUUAUUAAUUAUCUUAAACAGUUUGUAAUAAUAGCUUUCCAGGACUAAAACUUUACAUUAUAUUUUUAAAUGAGCAGCAUAAGUAUAAUACCUUAAACAAGAGUAUAUACAGUAUAAGGAAA
ensembl:lncRNA